GUAGCGCCUCGGACGAAUACCAUAGGGGGUAGAGCACUGUUUCGGCUAGGGGGUCAUCCCGACUUACCAAACCGAUGCAAACUCCGAAUACCAGCAAGUGUCAGCACGGGAGACACACGGCGGGUGCUAACGUCCGUCGUGAAAAGGGAAACAACCCAGACCGUCAGCUAAGGUCCCAAAGUCAUGGUUAAGUGGGAAACGAUGUGGGAAGGCUUAGACAGCUAGGA
rnacentral:rRNA from 1 species